rnacentral:rRNA from 1 species
UACGGGGGGAGCAAGCGUUGUUCGGAUUUACUGGGCGUAAAGGGCGCGUAGGCGGCGUGACUAGUCACUUGUGAAAUCUCCGGGCUUAACUCGGAACGGUCAAGUGAUACUGUCGUGCUAGAGUACAGAAGGGGCAACUGGAAUUCUCGGUGUAGCGGUGAAAUGGGUAGAUAUCGAGAGGAACACCUGCGGCGAAGGCGGGUUGCUGGGCUGAUACUGACGCUGAUGCGCGAAAGCCAGGGGAGCGAACGGG